GACGAAGGAGACAUUUUAGCAUCUGCGUGCGAGACUAAUGGAUCUACUCACAGCCAACGUGUUUCUACUCAAAGCCAUCGUUUUAUACUGAGAUCACAGGCAAUAAACAUCUGCAAAAAAAAAUCCUGUGUCCUUCGAAGCCUGGCUAGGCUCUCACGUGUUUUGCAGACUACUCGACGGUGUCGACAAGACUGCAAUCGUCUCAUUUAAAAUCAUCCUAAACGCCAGUCUGAUGAUUCUCUGGAGGAGGAAAGGCUAAACAAUGUUACAACCAAGACCUGUUUUAUUUCUAUCACCAGUUAUGUAAUGAGUUCAAACAUCACUAGUGUGGACCUCCUUGAGACAUUCAGAGCAUCAAUACACGAGCACACUCCGCAACUCUUCAAGCCAUACAGAGCAAGAAAGGGGGCAUUUGGAACAGAAAUGGAAGAUCUUCUCAACAAUCUUGAUCAGCAGACCACAAAUAUUGUGACUCACAGAAUGCAAACCGUCCUGGAAGGUCUCCCCAUGUUUCUAUGACAAGAUUCCUCUGUACUUUUUAAAACAUGCCUGGACAAGACUCCAGAGGACAGACAGACCAGAGGGAUGAAGGUGGGAAUCCUUAUUGUAAUUGAAGAUGAUGCCCCCCCCAGCACACUGCCCAGUGUCACAAAAUUUGCUGUUGUGUUGGAGGAGGUAUUGUACUGAGAGAUGCUCCAGACUUGCAGUCUGCACUUGCAUACCUGUUUGGCCUUCUGUUUGCCUUGGACUUUGAGUACCCAAAGCAACUGAAAUACACUUUUGAGGUUAUUGAGAAAGUGUUUAUGGAGAUGGGCACUCAUUGCUCUGCCAGGGUACAGACCCUCAAAACUAAGCUAUUACUGUGAGAUGCAUUUGUGAGAUGUUUGUAUCUUACAUUUAAGAUGCAAGUAGAUAGUUUUUUUUUUUUGCAAUUUGCUUGCAUUUUGUUUGACUCAUUUUUGUUUAAACUGUUAACUUGAGGUUGUGAUAAACAUUGGUGCCACUGUUUCAGCACUUACAGCACAAACGUUAACUUGCUUAUGGUAUAAAGCUGCUCAGUUGUAACAUAUUCAGUGUUUACAAUUUAAAAUGUAAAACAUUUAAAAGAUAGAACAUUUUAAGUAUUUAUGACCAGUGGAAUCUAAACACUUUGAAUGUAAAAGUACUCUUUAAAAAAAAUGUUUUAUUCUUCUGCCUACUCUUUUUUUUUUAUUUCUUUUUUAAUGAUAAGGAGUAUGGCUAAAGUGGUAAACAUGUUUGUUUUUUCCAUUUCCACACCAAAGUGUUGCUGCUGGUUUAAAAUAAAACCUGGACCAAAAUAUCAA